rnacentral:lncRNA from 1 species
AGGCUGAUAUGUAAUGGAAUUUCAAACAAAUCCAAAAUGUCUUUUAAAAGAAGCCCUUCGAUACUUCUCUACAAGUAUUUGAUUGUAAUUCACGGGAAACUACACAAGCUGUUGAUUAUCUCUCUUGAUGAUUAACGAAGCAACCUUUGCCUGGGGUUUNCUUAUGUUAAGGCUGAUAUGUAAUGAAAUUUAAAACCAAUCCAAAAUGUCUUUUAAAAGAAGCCCUUCGAUACUUCUCUACAAGUAUUCGAUUGUAAUUCACGGGAAACUACACAAGCUGUUGAUUAUCUCUCUUGAUGAUUAACGAAGCAACCUUUGCCUGGGGUUUCACUGCAUUCAUGUCAAAUUAAAUUUUUGACAUCACAAAAUUCCAAAUUUUUUGUUUCUCAUCUU